rnacentral:rRNA from 1 species
GAUGAACGCUGGCGGCGUGCCUAAUACAUGCAAGUCGAGCGAACGGACGAGAAGCUUGCUUUUCUGAUGUUAGCGGCGGACGGGUGAGUAACACGUGGAUAACCUACCUAUAAGACUGGGAUAACUUCGGGAAACCGGAGCUAAUACCGGAUAAUAUUUUGAACCGCAUGGUUCAAAAGUGAAAGACGGUCUUGCUGUCACUUAUAGAUGGAUCCGCGCUGCAUUAGCUAGUUGGUAAGGUAACGGCUUACCAAGGCAACGAUGCAUAGCCGACCUGAGAGGGUGAUCGGACACACUGGAACUGAGACACGGUCCAGACUCCUACGGGAGGCAGCAGUAGGGAAUAUGCCGCAAUGGGCGAAAGCAUGACGGAGCAAAGCCGCGUGAGUGAUGAAGGUCUUCGGAUCGUAAAACUCUGUUAUUAGGGAAGAAAAUAUGUGUAAGUAACUGUGCACAUCUUGACGGUACCUAAUCAGAAAGCCACGGCUAACUACGUG